UCCCUUGAGGACUUUGUGAAGUGUAUUGAAUGUGAAUCAUGUGAACUUAUAUGUUGUUGUGAAUUCAUGUUUGAUAUUGAGAACGAGCAUGUUAUUAUUAUGGUUGAAUCUAUGUGAACGAGCAUGUUAUGAAUUGAAUUAUGCUUUAUAGAUUCUAUUGAACUAUCAUGUUAUGGACUUUUAUAAUCGUUGAAUUAUGUCAAGCAUGUUAUUCAAGUUGGUUUGCAUGUAUGAGUAUUACGCAUGCAAGUUGUUGUUAUUAUUAUGCUAUAGUACAGGAUGUCUAGCAUAUAAAUAUUGAGCCAGUCGAAUAUUUCCAGUGAGCAAUAUAUAUACCAAGGGGUAGAAUAUUUUAGAGAGUCUAUGUGAAUUGAAUUAAGGACAAUUCGUGCUAAGGGCACACCCCGCUUGUUAAUAGGCAAUGUUGGGUUAUCUCAAACAGUGUUUUUGAGAAGGAACAAUGGGAGUAAUUUCACUUGAGUCUAUGUUGAUCACAAGUCCUAACGAAGUAAAAUAAUGAAGAGUCAUUGUUGAAUUGUUUAGUUGUUUACACUAGUAGAAAAAACCUUUAUUGCAGCCCCCUUGUUGAAGGGGGCAUAGAGAAAUACGCUUCAACAACCAAUCGGUCAACGCGGGUCAAACAUUAUAAAGAGUUGUUGAAGCGAAUAUUUUUGUUGUUCGCUUCAAUAGCAAUUGUUGAAGGGGGCAUUAAAUGUUCACUGUAACAAAUAAUACUCGCAUAUACUCCAACUUUUAAUUCUCUCUCCUCCUCAUUUCUUCUAUUAGCGUGAAAGAAUCAUUUCUCUCUCCUCUCCCCUCUCCUCGCCCCCGGUUCAAAACUCCUCAAACCAUUCUCCCCUUUCCAUGGAAGGUAUAUCUUCUCUCCCUCUCCCUCAUUCUCUACAAUUUCAAAGAAGGUGUCUUCAUAAACGCCCUCGAUUUCGUUCUCUUUCUCUCUCCUCUUUCAAAAUUUUAUCUUCGUGUUACAUCUAAAAAUUUCAAGCGAAAAUGAAGGAAUUUCAAUCCACAUCGGUCAAGCUGAUAUCCAGGUCGAAAAUUCUUGCUGGUAGCUUUACUGUCACGAGCAUGGUAUUCAGGUAUAACCUCUCUUCUUCUCUCUAGAUCUAUCGUUUCUGCUUUCUUUUUUUCUUAAUUUUAUGUUGUUAUUGCGAAAAAUUGAUGUUAUGAGUGUUGAAAUCGUUCAAUUUGAACUUUUGAUGCCGCAUUUCGGUAUAUAGUGUAGAUCUAUGAUGUUAUGUUGUUUUUAAUUGGUUAAAUCUAAUUUUUGAUGCCUCGAUGCAUAAUGUGAAGAUCUGUAUUUAAAAUUUAUUAAGUUAGGGGUUCGAUAUUUGCAAUAAUCGCAAUUAAGGUUUAUUUCAAUAAUUUUCCUCUUUUACGCUUCUAAUUUGCAUACUGAAUUUCUUCGUUAUUCAUAUUAAUAUAAUAAGUCGACAUCUUAGUAUCUGAAAUUGAAUUGGGUACUUUCAGGCUUAGGACUGUAAGGAGAAGUAGGGACUCAGUAACUCACGCUUGCUAUUAAGAUUUUAGAGUAAUCUUCAGUUCUUUGCGUGUUAUUUUGCAUUCCUUGACUAUCUUUAACAGAAGCAAGCACCCAAAAGCUGUAAACAUAUGCUGCCUCUGUUAGCUAUCUGUGUGAUAGAUACUCUCUGGGAAUCUGGGGCAAUAUACCCCCCAAUAGAUUGUGAUGCAAUAUCUACUUUUUCAAAUACGAGCUUUAAGCAUAGACAUGAAAGAACUACUCCUCUUCCCGGAACUAGCAGUCAUUUCUCCCUAACCCCUCGUAAUUAAGGAUAUCCUAUUUUACAAAACCACUAUUGUUAGUUGGUUGCGUUAUCCUCUUCUUGUCACUUAACUUUGAAUUACUUAUAGUGUGCCUGCAAUGGAAGUACUGACGUGGCUUUUAUCUUCUUCAGAAUUCAUGGCCAACCCAAAAUAAGCAAUUUUUGCUGUAACUUAUGCUUUUAUGUCUCUGUGGAUAAUUCUUGUAGUUGCGCUUUAGUGAAGAUAUGCCAAACCUUCAGCAGUGGCAAUACUAGUUCAGUGUUUUACCUAAUAAGGGUUCUGGUGAUGUACAUUCAAUAAUUUAAACAUGAGGGGAAAAGAGAAAGACAAGUCUAAGUUCAUGUAAGUUGAAAAAAUCAUAGUGAUGACAGAAGAUGAAGUGACCAGGACUCUUGUUGCAUCCAGUAUAACCGACUCCAGAGUGAUUAAUUUCAAUACAGGUAAUAAUUCUUGCAAGAGAAUGUGGAUUAAAACUUUAACUUUCAGAUAUUCCUCCGGAAAGCCUUGUACCAGAACCAUUAAGAGCAAGUAUCACAUGUUUAUUAAGGCUAUUUUUGGGCUUUUGACUGGGGAAAAUCCUUCUCUGUGAAAACUGAAUGAACUUUUUUCUGUUCGUUUGUAAAGGAGAGACUGUAAUUUUCCGAGGGAGGAAUUCCGCCGCCUUCUGCUUUUGGUCGCAACAAGGCAUUCCCGCAUACAAUAUUUCCUCCCAAUAGUCUGAUAGUAUUAGACACAAAAUGUUGCAGCUGAAGUAUUGUCACUCCAUUAGCAGCUAGUUUUGUAGAUUCAAAAAUUAUUUUUG